UUGGCUCGGAACGUACCUGUGCUCGGAAUCUGAUGGAUACUAACAUCGACGGCCCGCUCACCUUUGCCGGGGAUAAGAAAGAGAUUGAUGGAGGUGGAGAAGACAUUCCUUUGAAAAAAGCAAAGAAGUUGUGCAAGUAUCUUUAGAAAUGGGAAAACGAAUUUAGCUUCGUGAAGAAGAGCAGAGUGGGGCACAGUCACGCAUUCUGCACAAUUUGCAGUUGCGAUUUUAGUGUCUCCCACGGGGGAAGGACCGAUGUCACUAAGCAUAAAAAAUCGGCUAAGCACAAGCGUGGGCUAGAGGCACAGAAACAUGCCCCGACGAUGUCCACAUUUGUGAGUAGGAAUAUCACAGAGGCUGACCAGGUCAUAAAUGCAGAGGUUAAAAUGGCCAUGUUGUGUGCCAAAAACAACAUUUCUUUCGCCUUCUGCGACGACUUCAACAAGUGUGUAGCUGACAUGUUCCCGGACUCUGCCAUUGCACGAAAAUAUUCUGCGGGGAAAACCAAAACUAUGCAAAUCAUAAAAGAGGCUGAGCAUUAGCAGCAGCAGCGGCACAUUUCCGUGACGACAGGAGAAGUGUUACUGGAAGAGAGGGAGAACUCACAGAACUGCUGCACGUGGUUGGAUCUCAUUCUGUUAUGCUUUGGGGGUGCUAACCUUUUCUCUAAUGGGCAGAAGCAGCCCCUUCCUAGCUAAACAUACAUCAGAUUAAACUAAACCAACGAAACACACAAGUUCAGGCGUUUGAAACAACUUCUUGACAUGACUAGCCUAGUAGGAAAUUGUUUUUCAAAUAUAUAAAAUUCUCACACAAUUGGCUUUCCUUCUCCUUGUGACAUUAUGGUUAAAAUGGGAGAAAGACUGCAGAGGAAGUAGAUGAACAACUUUGGAAUAGCUUGCCAGGUUCCACCUCAGUCAAGACCUUAGAAAAUACUUUAAAAAUAGCACACUGCUGGUACAUGUGUCUGGUCUGAUUGAAUAAAAAAAUCAAAACUUUGCUGACAGGAAUGCCAUUUGCCUGGGUCUCUAAUAUAUAUGUGGUGGCCCUGCCCCAAAAUUAUUUCCUUCUGGGAUUUUCCCUCCUGAACAAUUAAUCAAAUGACAAAACAGCUUGGACCCUGUUUUAUUCUUCACUCCCCAGACUCAAAAUGCAACCAGUAGAGAUCUUAUCCUCCAUUCACUAACAGUUAAAUUAGUGGUAGUCAAAAUUUGGAAACCCAUAGAUAUCUUUUUGAAGCUAGGACAUUGUACAUAUAGACAAACUAACUGCUCUGCAAAAAGAGCAAUGCAUCAGAAAAAAAGACCAACACCAUUUACACAACAUGGUAUCCAUUUACUGACUUUGUAAAAUUUAUUAAGUGUGGUUUUCAUCCUCCAUCAACACAUGGAACAUUAUGCAACAUCUUUAUUUGAUUGCCUAUAGUGG